GAUGAACGCUGGCGGCGUGCCUAAUACAUGCAAGUCGAGCGAACGGACGAGAAGCUUGCUUCUCUGAUGUUAGCGGCGGACGGGUGAGUAACACGUGGAUAACCUACCUAUAAGACUGGGAUAACUUCGGGAAACCGGAGCUAAUACCGGAUGAUAUUUUGAACCGCAUGGUUCAAAAGUGAAAGACGGUCUUGCUGUCACUUAUAGAUGUAUCCGCGCUGCAUUAGCUAGUUGGUAAGGUAACGGCUUACCAAGGCAACGAUGCAUAGCCGACCUGAGAGGGUGAUGGGCCACACUGGAACUGAGACACGGUCCUGACUCUUACGGGAGGCAGCAGUAGGGAAGCUUCCGAAAUGGGCGGAAGCCUGACGGAGCAGCGCCGCGUGAGUGAUGAAGGUCUUCGGAUCGUAAAACUCUGUUAUUAGGGAAGAACAUAUGUGUAAGGAACUGUGCACAUCUUGACGGUACCUAAUCAGAAAGCCACGGCUAACUACGUG
rnacentral:rRNA from 1 species